rnacentral:tRNA from 1 species
UAAAGAAAGUUGUAAUGGUUACACAGUUGGCUUGAAACCAAUUUAAGGAGGUUCGAAUCCUUCCUUUCUUAU